CCUACGGGAGGCAGCAGUGGGGAAUUUUGGGCAAUGGGCGCAAGCCUGACCCAGCAACGCCGCGUGAAGGAUGAAAUCCCUCUGGGAUGUAAACUUCGAAAGUCGGGAAAGAAAUCGCCAUGGAUAACACCCGUGGUGGAUGACGGUACCCGACGUAAGCCCCGGCUAACUACGUGCCAGCAGCCGCGGUAAUACGUAGGGGGCAAGCGUUGUUCGGAAUUACUGGGCGUAAAGGGCGCGUAGGCGGCAUGGCAAGUCGGGAGUGAAAGCCCGGGGCUCAACCCCGGAACUGCUUUCGAAACUGCCAAGCUAGAGUACGGAAGGGGCAACUGGAAUUCCCAGUGUAGCGGUGAAAUGCGUAGAUAUUGGGAAGAACACCGGAGGCGAAGGCGGGUUGCUGGGCCGAUACUGACGCUGAGGCGCGAAAGCCAGGGGAGCAAACGGGAUUAGAUACCCCGGUAGUCCUGGCCCUAAACGAUGGAUACUUGGUGUGUGGGGUUCUCAAAGUCCCCGCGUGCCGGAGCUAACGCGUUAAGUAUCCCGCCUGGGGAGUACGGUCGCAAGGCUUAAACUCAAAGGAAUUGACGG
rnacentral:rRNA from 1 species